UACGUGGGGUGCAAGCGUUGUUCGGAAUUACUGGGCGUAAAGCGCGUGUAGGCGGUUCGCUAAGUUCGAUGUGAAAGCCCUGGGCUUAACCCAGGAACUGCAUUGAAAACUGGCGGACUUGAGUCCGGGAGAGGGAUGUAGAAUUCCAGGUGUAGCGGUGAAAUGCGUAGAUAUCUGGAGGAAUACCGGUGGCGAAGGCGGCAUCCUGGACCAUAACUGACGCUGAGGCGCGAAAGCUAGGGGAGCAAACGGG
rnacentral:rRNA from 1 species